CAAUAGCGUAUAUUAAAGUUGUUGCAGUUAAAAAGCUCGUAGUUGGAUUUGUGGCGUACGGUGUGUUCCGGGCACUUGUUGUCUGAGUAACCUGCUGUUGCCAUCCUUGGGUGGAACCUGUGUGGCAUUAGGUUGUCGUGCAGGGGAUGCCCAUCAUUUACUGUGAAAAAAUUAGAGUGUUCAAAGCAGGCUUAUGCCGUUGAAUAUAUUAGCAUGGAAUAAUGAGAUAGGACUUUUUUGCUAUUUUGUUGGCUUGCGCAAAGAGGUAAUGAUUAAUAGGGACAGUUGGGGGUAUUCGUAUUCCAUUGUCAGAGGUGAAAUUCUUGGAUUUUUGGAAGACGAACUACUGCGAAAGCAUUUACCAAGGAUGUUUUCAUUAA
rnacentral:rRNA from 1 species